UACGGAGGGGACUAGCGUUGUUCGGAAUUACUGGGCGUAAAGCGCACGCAGGUGGCUGAGUCAGUCGAUUGUGAAAGCCCUGGGCUUAACCUAGGAAUUGCAGUCGAUACUACUCAGCUAGAGUAUGGGAGAGGGCAGUGGAAUUCCCGGUGUAGCGGUGAAAUGCGUAGAUAUCGGGAGGAACAUCAGUGGCGAAGGCGGCUGCCUGGCCCAAUACUGACACUCAGGUGCGACAGCGUGGGGAGCAAACAGG
rnacentral:rRNA from 1 species